ACAUAUUUAAAAUGCUGACACAUAUGGCCAGGCUGCCUGCCAGAAAGUUGCGCCAAUUUAUAGUGGCAGAGGUGACUGAGGUCCCAAGAAAACAGCUUUUAGUGUAUCUAGCCCAUUGAUCCACAGUGUGCCAUGACUCAUCUGAUUUUGAAAGUCAGCUUCCUCCUUCAGGAAGUUUCCCUGAUUAACAGCCGAGAACGUUCUGCUUCUCCUACCUAUCCCUGCAUAUCCCAGACCUUUGCUCCUGGUGUGGUCCUGGAAAGGUCCUCUGGUCUGGCCAAGCAGGAUCUCACCUGGAUUUCAACUCUGGAUUUUAAAUUCCCCAAUGGCAAGGGACAAGAAGAGGAGGCUCAGAGAGGUUAAAUAACUUCCCAAGGCCACUGGGUAAGAAACCGUGGGAUCUGAAUGCAGCUGAGGCUGUUGGAUGCCAGAGCCUAGACACAGAGCACAGCCUCAUUCUUCAGCCUCCCAGGUCCUCUAACGCAGUGUGUCCAGAGCUGAGCCCGCCUAGAACUGCCUUCCUUUUCUCAGACACCUGGGAGACGUCCUAGACUCCAUCCUCUCUGUUGCCGCAAAACAUAACCAGUUGCUUCUUGAGUCUUUCUGUGAUGUGCACCUGCCUCCAUCCCAUGGCCACUGCCUCAGUGUCAAGGCCCUCAUGAACUCUCAUCUUUGUAUUUGCAAGAACCUCCCCACAAGCCCCCUCCAAGCUACCUUCCACAGAGCAACUAAAGAAAUCUAACUAGAAUAUUAAUGGUCACAGCUUAAUACCACCAUCUCCUCCCAGCGUGCUCAGGGGUUCCCCAUGGCCUGCGGGGUUGGUCUCCCAGCUCAGGAGGCCCUUCAUAAUCAGGCCUUCCUCACCUCUCUGGCUUCCUCCUGGCAACUUGGCUCCAGCUAUGCCAAAUUACCUGUGGUCCCCCAAGCACAGUAUACCCUUUCACAAUUCUGUGUCUUUACUGUGCUGUUCCUCCUGCCAGCAAUACCCUUCCUUGUCUUCUCUAUCCAACAAACUCUUAUUCAUCCCUCAAAACCCUGAUAUGGCAUCUUCUCCCUUAUUCUGAAGCUUUUUCUGACCUCCCAAAGACAAAGGGUUUAAUACCUCCAGCAACACAGCCCUGCACUGUAAUGAAAGGGCUGGCUCCCCUAGAAAGCAGGACAGUGCAGAACCUUCUCUAUUUCUCUGUAACCUAGUUCAGGGCCUGGCACCCUGUAGGCACUAAUAAACGCUUACUGAGCUGAAGGAGACUGUUCUCCCCAAAAUCGGAUUUUAGAGGUUUAUUGCCUGCCCUGCCAUUCAUCUUCCUAAAGCUUCCCUCCUGGAGGGCUGGACUGGGUCUUGCAUUUUGCUUCUCUCCUCCAUAGCAAUGGGGCUGCAGCUACACUAUUCUCUAUUUCCUUGGGGGUCUGACAGGGUAUCCAGCUGCUCCACCCCACAAACUGUCCCUUGGGGUGAGUUGGAAAAGCACCUCCCCAUCCCCCACCUUUGUACCUUGGAGGGGAGGAGGUUGACUUCCAUGAUGCACACGGCUGCCAUGCGGGACACUGCCAGUCCGAUGGCCUUCUCCAGGAAAAACAAGAUUCCAGGCACCAGCAGCCACUUCCAGAAGUUGGGCCCAUGAAAGAUGAGCAGAAGCCACACGAGGAGGUAGGACAGAUGAGAGAACUGAGGCUUGGAAAGGUUGAGCGACCAGUAAGCAGUGGAGUGGGGAUUCAAAACCUGCUGAGCCUAUGUUCCUUCCCCUCCCUGUACUGUUUUAAGCCCAACUUAAUCCAAAUAGGCUAAAGGGAUAAGCCAGCAAAAAGGCAGACUCUUCCGCAGCAAAACAUCUACACUUGGCAGACAUAAACUACAGUCCAGUGGCAGAACACAGCAGCAGGUCCCAAAUCACAUGCAAAUAAUAUGCAGACCAGCUUGGGACCUUCCUGGGCUCUGGAGUAAAUCAGAGGGGACACAGAAAGAAAUGAAAGUAGGACCCUGGCCUUGGGGGAAGCAAAAGGGCAGCAACUGGGGCACCUCAAAGUGGCCACUCCUGCGGAUGCAGGAACUGGAGCAGAUGAACAUGAGGAGGAGCAGCAGCAGCAGAGCGACACCUGUCGGGGAGGCCGAACCGUGUACCCAGCCAAUGCCAGGCCUCGUGGUGAGCAGCAGCUCCCAGAACUGGAAAGGGCUGGCCUCCGCCUGAGCCUGGAGUACUGGAAACAAGCUCAGAAAGGUUGAGUGACUGCAAGACCAGCUCUUCCCACUCCACCUUCCCAUUGGGAUCCCCACCCUGCACCAUCAGAUACUAGCACGGGCAGAAACUUUUGUCCAGAGCGUUGGCUUAUCCAGGGCACCCCUUCUCUGCCCUUUGGGCAGGCAGUACACACAGGGGCUGGGCCCUGCAUUCUGGGCUUGAGGCUGCUCAAGCUUCUCCCCGACCCAACCCUGCCCCAGAUCACUCACCAAAGUUCACAGUGUGAGCCACGGUGUGCACGAGGGACAGCCCCACUACCACGUAGCCCAUAAGCUGGUGGAACUGGAUGUUCUGGUCCAGUGGUAGGACUUGAGCCAGCCACGUGGCCCGCAGCCAGGUGAGGCAGCGUCUGAGCAUCAGCACCUGGCCAGGCAGAGUGGGAGAGAGCCCUGCCUCACUCUCUGUCUGCCUUGUCCUCUUUUCCCAGCCACCUCCCUGCAUCCUCCUGAGCUAGCUGUGCUUUCUGAACAGGACACUCACCAAAGUCCCCUGCCCCCAUGCCUUGUUGCUUCCCUGGAUUCAUACCUGGGGUCUCUAGAGGAGGAUCUCCAGAAUUGUGGCGGGAAGAGAAAGUUACAGAAUGUCUAUUUGUAUUAAUUUUUGUCUAAACACAUGAGAAACAUCUAUGCUUUUACUAAUAUUUAAUAUAUGGGCCAGGCGCAGUGGCUCACUCCACUAAUCUCAGCACUUUGGAAGGCUGAGACAGUAGGAUCACUGGAGCCUAGGAGUUUGAGACCAGCCUGGGCAACACAGCGAGACCCCUGUCUCUAUAGAAAAAAAAAAUUGUUUAAUUAGCUGGGCAUGGUGGCACACACCUGUAAUCCUAGCUACUUAGGGGGCUGAGGCAGGAGGACUGCUUGAGCCCAGGAUUGCUUGAGCCCAGGCGUUUGAGGUUACAGCAACCUAUGAUCAGUCCACUGCACUCCAGCCUGGGUGACAAAGACCAUGUCUCAAAUAAAUAAAUAAAUAAAUAAAAUAUCUCUGUUGACUUGGUGCCCUCAUUUAGUCCAUAUGUCAGAUGGGCACGUGUUGUGUUAGUUCUCGAGGUGCCUUGCAGGAGCCAAAUCCAGAGUGGUUAACCAGGGUUCUCUCAUUGCUCAUUUGCUUUCAGUAUAUUUAUGUUUGCCAAGGAUGUGGACUUGUAGGUUACAGUAUUUGACUUUACCAAAACUAAGCUAACUACCCCUCACAGGAAGGACAAGUAGCUUUAAAAGUUUCCCAGCAGAGAAACCACAGAUUAACAGUUGUGUUAGUAAUACAUGAGCAAGUGACCAAGAAAAUGAAUCACACGUC
rnacentral:lncRNA from 1 species